rnacentral:rRNA from 1 species
UACAGAGGUCCCAAGCGUUGUUCGGAUUCACUGGGCGUAAAGCGCACGUAGGCGGCUUUGUAAGUUAGAGGUGAAAGCCCAGGGCUCAACCCUGGAAUUGCCUUUAAGACUGCAUCGCUUGAACAUCGGAGAGGUAAGUGGAAUUCCGAGUGUAGAGGUGAAAUUCGUAGAUAUUCGGAAGAACACCAGUGGCGAAGGCGACUUACUGGACGAUUGUUGACGCUGAGGUGCGAAAGCGUGGGGAGCAAACAGG